AACGAACGCUGGCGGCAGGCUUAACACAUGCAAGUCGAGCGCCCCGCAAGGGGAGCGGCAGACGGGUGAGUAACGCGUGGGAAUCUACCCAUCCCUACGGAACAACCCUGGGAAACUGGAGCUAAUACCGUAUACGCCCUUCGGGGGAAAGAUUUAUCGGGGAUGGAUGAGCCCGCGUUGGAUUAGCUCGUUGGUGGGGUAAUGGUCUACCAAGGCGACGAUCCAUAGCUGGUCUGGGAAGAUGAUCAGCCACACUGGGAAUGAGACACGCGCCAGAGUACUACGGGAGGCAGGGGUAGGGAAUAUUAGACGAUAGGCGAAAGCCUGAUCCACCCCUGCCCCGGGAGUGAUGAAGGCCCUAGGGUUGUAAAGCUCUUUCACCGGUGAAGAUAAUGGCGUUAACCGGAGAAGAAGCCCCGGCUAACUUCGUGCCAGCAGCCGCCGUAACAC
rnacentral:rRNA from 1 species